CUGUCAUCAGUUGUAUUGCUUAUGAAUCAAAUUCAAAUCAAAAUAAGGAUUUCAAAAUUUGUGUUAGUGUUAAAAAUGUAUCAAUUCAUGUGGAAGUCAUAUAAGAUUUUCUUCAUGCUUUGAAUUUUGGUAGUACAUUGUACGCCUAUCACUUGUUAUUGAGUUUAAGAUUGAAGUUUUAAUGAUGUGCCUAUUUUUUAUUUUUUUUUAUCUGUUGCAGGGUUAGGUGGUGGAAAUGUGGAGCUGUAAGGGAUGCAAAGAAACGGUAUCAAGUAGGUCCACACUCUUAAAUCACUACAAGCUUAAGCAUCCGCAUUCUGGACGUAGUGCUCCCUUUCCCUGUACAUACCCACACUGUCCUUGCACAUUUAGAACAUGGAAUGCCCUUAUUGUCCACCAAAGUAAGAUUCACUCCACAGGGGUCACUAGCAAGGAGCAUGCUAUAUUCAGUUGCCAUCUCUGUACUUGUAAUGAUUUGGCCUCAGAGAGGGAUUAUUUUGCUCAUGUAAAUACUCACCUCAAAAGAAAUGAGACAGUCAGUUGUAUGUUUCUUGACUGUGACUUUAAAACAAACGUUUAUUGCACGUUUAAAUCACACAAGAACCGAAAACACUGCCAUCACUCAUUGGUUGAUUUUAAACCUGGAGUAGUAAUAACUACGGAAUCAGCAUCUGUUGAUGAAUUGGAAGCAAAUAGCGAGGAGAAUGUAGAACAGUUGGAUACUGCCACUCCUUCAAGUAGUUGGUCUGACAGUACGGACUUGCAGACAAACAUAGAGCAAAGAUUUGCUGCUGCUCUGUUAAAGUUGGAGCAUUUGGUUCAUGUGCCAAGCACAGCUGUUGAUGGGUUUUUAGGGGAACUCCAUCAUUUGAUUUCUUCUGCUCCUGUCCCCCUUUCUUGUGAAAUGGUUAGGGACAUCUUUCAUCAGAGAAACCUUUCUGUCGAUGAUCUUGUUAUUAGAGAGACAGUUGAUUCAAUUUGUUGUGGUAGUCCUGUGCAGAGGUCCAUACAGAAAGGUGGCCCUUUAAGCACUGCAUAUCUGCGGAAGCUUUAUUACAAGGAGAAUUUUAGUGUCGUACAACCAGUUGAAUACGUCCUGGAUGCUAAAAGCAAACAUAGUUAUCAAUAUGUUCCCAUACUUAAGUCCUUGCAGCAGCUGUUGAGUAGACAGGAGGUCAUUGAUCAGAUAGUUGAGGGUCAUCAAAGACAAGAUGACGCACAGUCUGGAGUUUCCUACAAGUGCUCAAAAGAUGGUUCCCUCUUCAAGGACAAUCCUUUUUUUUCUAGGGGAAAGCCAAGGAUAAUCCUGCAGUGUUAUGUAGAUGACUUUGAGGUCUGUAACCCCCUUGGCACCUCAAGAAAGAAGCAUAAACUUUGUGCUGUUUAUUGGGUAUUGGGUAACUUGCGUCCAGGGUCUCAUUCAUCAUUAUCAUCCAUCUACUUAGCAGUUUUGUGUAAAACUGAUCAUGUUAAAAUCUAUGGUUAUGACAGGAUCUUAGAACCUCUUCUUCAAGACCUGAAAACUCUGGAGGAGCUGGGUGUUUAUGUCCCACUGCUAGGUGAGUCAGUUAAAGGCACCAUAUUUAGUGUAGUAGCUGACAACUUGGGAGCGCACAGCAUUGCUGGAUUUAUGGAGAGUUUUUCUGUGGAACACUAUUGCAGGUUUUGCACAGGAAAGAGCAGUGAUAUUCAGCUACAUUCUGUUGCAUCUGGCGCUUUCGAGUUGAGAACCAAGGAGCUUCAUCAGGCCCAUGUCAAACAGGUUGAAGAUACAGGUACAGCUUGUUUUGGUAUGAAGCGGUUAUGCGUCUUUACUAAAUAUCUGUCUCAUUUUCAUGUCAUCUUUGGCUAUCCACCUGACCUGGCCCAUGAUGUUUUGGAGGGUAUAAUCCCUGUUGAGCUUGCUCGUUGCUUAGCAGUUCUUAUAUCUAAAAAGUUUUUCACAUUAGCUGACUUAAACAAUGCAAUUUCUACGUUUCCCUAUAAAUGGGCUGACAGGACAAACAAACCUCAUGUAGUCUCUCAAAGUUUCUCCAAAACCAAAACUGUGGGAGGAAAUGCGCAUGAAAACUGGAGCUUGCUCCGAUUCUUGCCUUUCUUGAUUGCACCACUUGUGCCUGAGGAUGAACCUGCCUGGCUUAUUCUCAUGGACCUGAAGGACAUCACAGAGCUUGUUGUGGCCAUUGUACAUACUGAUGACUCAUUGGCUUUUUUAGAAAGCAAAAUCAUAGAGCACAGACAGAGGUAUCAAGAGUUGUUCCCCGAUGUCAGGUUGCUGCCAAAACACCACUUUUUGGAGCACUACCCCCAGAUGAUCAGGCUGUUUGGUCCAGUUGUCGGGCAGUGGACGAUGCGCUUUGAGGCUAAGCACAGCUUUUUUAAGCAGGUUGUCAGGCACACAAGUUGUUUUAAGAAUGUGCCCCUCUCGUUAGCCUCAAAGCAUCAAAUGAUGAUUGCUUACCACCUGAGCACUCCAUGUCUGAGCAAGCCUGACCUAGAGGUCUCAAGUGUGUCCACUCUACCAGUAGACUUACUCAAAGAGGAGAUGGCACAGAUCAUUAGACAAAAAUUUCCUGAAAUAUCUGAAGUCCAUCUUUCGCAGUGUGUGACAACCAAGGGCAUAACUUAUAGGAAGGGAAUGAUACUGGCCCACAGAGAAGUAGGUGGAUUGCCUGAGUUUAGCGAAAUUGACCAAAUCGUCAUUAUACACAAGUGUGUAUUCUACAUUGUCAAAGAGCUCUGUGGUUGGUAUUCUGAACAUUAUAGAGCUUUCCAUCUCAGCCCGACACCCACAAGGACAUUUAGUCUCGUUGCACUUGGUGAGCUCCUUGACAGUUAUCCACUAGUUGACUACAGGAUUGGAUCAGCUCGCAUGGUGACUCUGAAAAGGCAUAUUAUAAUAAAAGGUGCGCUAGGAAACUUUGUGUUUAUUAAUAAUGGUUCUAAUCUCAUGUGUCUUACAGGCCCCCUAAAGAGUUUAUAUACAUGUCUAAUAACUGAAUAUUAUUUUGUUUGUGUACACAGACUAAACACCUUUGAAGAUGGAGACUACAUUCAUAAUGAAGAUAAUCUUGCCUGAUGGCAGUUCUCAGAGACUAACCCUAACAGGACCUCCUGCAUGCAUCGAAGAUCUAUAAACAGAAGUGAAGAGACAGUGUAGACUUCAGGGACAUUUCAGUCUUCAGUUUAAAGAUUCAGUAUUUGGGGGUGAAUUCCUUAACCUCACCUCUGUUUCAGAGGUGGAGGAUAAAGGCACACUUAAGGUAAUUGAUUCGUCCGGGCCCCUCAUGCAGCGAGAUGAGAGUGCUUGGAUGGUUACAGGAGUCAGUCCUUCUGGAAGUGUGACUUCGUCCCUGUCUGUGGAUACAGAUGUGUUAUCUUCAGAUGUGUUGUCUUCAAGCGAGUCAAUAAGCUCGCGAUCAUCUUGGCCUGCAGUUUUUCAAGUACCGAGGUUUUCUUAUGACGCAGAGCUCAAACUCACACAGGCAGCUGUAGCUUACCUCAAAGAUGGCACUCUAUUCAGUCCUGAUCCAAAAUUGAAGUCCGAUGUACUUGAUGGUCUUCUGCAGGAAAUUGUGAAAUAUAAAAUAUACAUCACUGGUAAGCAGGCAGAUCAGGUAGCCCAGUCUCUUAUAAAGAGGCAUCCGUGCUUGGCUGAGAGAGGAUCGGACACCGGGUAUGGUGGGUGGAAGACCAGUAUUAAAUAUAAAGUAUCCAAUUACCGUUCACAAUUAAAAAAGAUUGGCUGCCCAGAAGUGACUGUAAAUGCCUUAAAAAACAAACCCGAAGGAAAGCAAAGUCCAGCCUUCGGUGUGAAGAAAGCCAAAAGGGCUGAAGUAAAUUUUUGUCCAGCAUAUCCAGCAACUGAAACUGAGGAGAGUUUGGAUGCCACACGGAAAGCUCUACUGCUGGACAGUAAGAGGAAGAACAACAGAGAAGCUGUGAGAAUCCAGAUGGAAAAGACAUUUGCUCUUCGAAGACAGGAAGUUGUGCGCGACACACCAAUGGUGGCAGACUUUAUGGCAAGGUGGCCUGCACUGUUUGAAGUCACAGAAAUCAACGCGGAAUUCAAAAGAAUUACGACUGUCCCACUUCAAUCCAAGUUCCUGUCUCAGAUAGACCUUCACUCUGACAACCUGAUAAAGCUGUUCCGAAAGAGAGGGGGACAAAUAGGGAAAAGUCUCCAAGCCACCAUAGAGAAAAUGACUGAUGUGAGUGAUACAGGGUCUUAAUCAUGCAAACCUUACAGGGGAUUUGAAUCAUGUUGAUAUUGAUAUUUCUUUGCAUAUUGUAUUUGUCUAACUUUUCCUUUCUUUUUCCAUGAUCGUUUCCAGCAGUAGUGGACUUAAAUGAAAGUUGGAUUAACAUGCUAAUUAAGAUUUUUUUUUGUGUGUUUCAGUGUGAUAUAGAUGCUGGCCGGGAGUGUCUCCUGAAGGGUCUUUGUAUGUACAUGGGGGAAGAUCCUGAAAACCUUGUGCAGGAAUAUGUGGGCAUUGAUGAAGUUGAUGUCAGUAAAUUAAUUGACGACACAACCGUUGGGAUUUACGUGCUGAGAGAACACGGAUCGAGUGAACCGGAGGACAUUGGGGUGGUACUCGAAGGACUCAAAGUAUUGACCGAUCUUGAUAGCAUACCGUCAGCCGUCACGAUGAUGUUGGGUCUGAUGUAUGCCCUUAACCUCAGGUACCCACCUGACCUUAGAUACACCUUUGAGGCACUGCAAAAAAUCUUCAUGGAGCUUGAUGAAGGCAAACUCUCCAACAAAGUUGCUCUGUUAAAGAACAGGUUGUUUCAGUAAAGGGUUCAUUUUAUCUUUGAAAACAAACUACUGUUAUAACCAG